rnacentral:rRNA from 1 species
CCUACGGGAGGCAGCAGUAGGGAAUCUUCCACAAUGGGCGAAAGCCUGAUGGAGCAACGCCGCGUGGGUGAAGAAGGUCUUCGGAUCGUAAAACCCUGUUGUUAGAGAAGAAAGUGCGUGAGAGUAACUGUUCACGUUUCGACGGUAUCUAACCAGAAAGCCACGGCUAACUACGUGCCAGCAGCCGCGGUAAUACGUAGGUGGCAAGCGUUAUCCGGAUUUAUUGGGCGUAAAGGGAACGAAGGCGGUCUUUUAAGUCUGAUGUGAAAGGCUUCGGCUUAACCGGAGUAGUGCAUUGGAAACUGGGAGACUUGAGUGCAGAAGAGGAGAGUGGAACGCCAUGUGUAGCGGUGAAAUGCGUAGAUAUAUGGAAGAACACCAGUGGCGAAAGCGACUCUCUGGUCUGUAACUGACGCUGAGGUUCGAAAGCGUGGGUAGCAAACAGGAUUAGAUACCCCUGUAGUC